UACGGAGGGUGCAAGCNUUAAUCGGAAUUACUGGGCGUAAAGCGCACGCAGGCGGUUUGUUAAGUCAGAUGUGAAAUCCCCGAGCUUAACUUGGGAACUGCAUUUGAAACUGGCAAGCUAGAGUCUUGUAGAGGGGGGUAGAAUUCCAGGUGUAGCGGUGAAAUGCGUAGAGAUCUGGAGGAAUACCGGUGGCGAAGGCGGCCCCCUGGACAAAGACUGACGCUCAGGUGCGAAAGCGUGGGGAGCAAACAGGAUUAGAUACCCUGGUAGUCCACGCUGUAAACGAUGUCGAC
rnacentral:rRNA from 1 species